CUGGCGGCGUGCUUAACACAUGCAAGUCGAACGCGAAAGGGACUUCGGUCCUGAGUAAAGUGGCGGCACGGGUGAGUAACGCGUAGAUAACCUGUCUUCAUGUCUGGAAUAAUACGCCAAAGGGGUACUAAUACCGGAUAUUCUUGCUUUUCAUAAGUUAUGCAAGCAAAGGUGGCCUCUGCAUAUGCUACUGCAUGAAGAGGGGUCUGCGUACCAUUAGCUAGUAGGUGGGGUAAUGGCCUACCUAGGCGACGAUGGUUAGCGGGUCUGAGAGGAUGAUCCGCCACACUGGCACUGGAACACGGGCCAGACUCCUACGGGAGGCAGCAGUGAGGAAUAUUGCGCAAUGGGGGAAACCCUGACGCAGCGACGCCGCGUGAGUGAGGAAGGCCUUCGGGUCGUAAAGCUCUGUCAAGAGGAAAGAAGUGUACAAUGGCUAAUACCUGUUGUAUUUGACGGUACCUCUAAAGGAAGCACCGGCUAACUCCGUGCCAGCAGCUGC
rnacentral:rRNA from 1 species